rnacentral:rRNA from 1 species
UACGGGGGGGGUAAGCGUUGUUCGGAAUUACUGGGCGUAAAGGGCUCGUAGGCGGCCAACUAAGUCGGACGUGAAAUCCCUCAGCUUAACUGGGGAACUGCGUCCGAUACUGGAUGGCUUGGAUUUGGGAGAGGGAUGCGGAAUUCCAGGUGUAGCGGUGAAAUGCGCAGAUAUCAGGAAGAACACCCGUGGCGAAGGCGGCUCUCUGGUACGUGACUGACGCUGAGACGCGAAAGCGUGGGGAGCAAACAGG